rnacentral:rRNA from 1 species
AGUGAACGCUGGCGGUAGGCCUAACACAUGCAAGUCGAACGGCAGCACAGUAAGAGCUUGCUCUUACGGGUGGCGAGUGGCGGACGGGUGAGGAAUACAUCGGAAUCUACUUUUUCGUGGGGGAUAACGUAGGGAAACUUACGCUAAUACCGCAUACGACCUACGGGUGAAAGCAGGGGAUCUUCGGACCUUGCGCGAUUGAAUGAGCCGAUGUCGGAUUAGCUAGUUGGCGGGGUAAAGGCCCACCAAGGCGACGAUCCGUAGCUGGUCUGAGAGGAUGAUCAGCCAAACUGGAACUGAGACACGGUCCAGACUCCUACGGGAGGCAGCAGUGGGGAAUAUUGGACAAUGGGCGCAAGCCUUAUCCAGCCAUACCGCGUGGGUUAAGAAGGCCUUCGGGUUCUAAAGCCCUUUUGUUGGGAAAGAAAAGCAGCAGAUUAAUACCCCGCUGUUCUGACGGUACCCAAAGAAUAAGCACCGGCUAACUUCGUG